GAAUAUUAGUCAAUGCUCGAAAGAGUGAACUAGCUAACUGAAAUCAAUUAAAAUAAUUGAUAACAUAAGGGAAAAUAAUGAUAUUACCUUAUUAUUAGUGUCGUCCAAAACUGGUGCCAGAAGACUCGGUAAGGCCAGAGACACAAACGUUAAUCGUCUUAAUCAGGCGUAAAGGGUUUGUAGGCGGCUUUAAAAUUUACUUAUAAAAAUAAAUAAUAAGUAAAGAAUAAAAGCUAGAAUCAAAUAGAGGAUAUAUGAAAGAAUGCUUAGAGUAGGUCUGAUAUCCUUAGAUACUAAGUAGAAUAUUAAAGGCGAAAGCUUUUUUCCAUUAAUGAUUGACGCUCAGAAACGAAGGUGAGGAAAGGAAAUAGGAUUAGAUACCCAGAAUACCCCUCUCUGUCAACGAUGAAUGGUAGUUAUUAGUAAAAAAUUAUUAAUAGCAAUGUUAACACGAUAACCAUUCCGCCUUGUGAGUACAACUGCAAAGUUGAAAACAAAAAAAUUAGUCGGUUUCGGAGCAAACGAAGUGAAGCAUGUUAUUUAAUU
rnacentral:rRNA from 1 species